rnacentral:rRNA from 1 species
AGAGUUUGAUCCUGGCUCAGGACGAACGCUGGCGGCGUGCUUAACACAUGCAAGUCGAACGGUGAAGCAGAGCUUGCUCUGUGGAUCAGUGGCGAACGGGUGAGUAACACGUGAGUAACCUGCCCUUGACUCUGGGAUAAGCGUUGGAAACGACGUCUAAUACCGGAUACGACCUUCGGAGGCAUCUCCUGGGGGUGGAAAGAAUUUCGGUCAAGGAUGGACUCGCGGCCUAUCAGCUUGUUGGUGAGGUAAUGGCUCACCAAGGCGACGACGGGUAGCCGGCCUGAGAGGGUGACCGGCCACACUGGGACUGAGACACGGCCCAGACUCCUACGGGAGGCAGCAGUGGGGAAUAUUGCACAAUGGGCGCAAGCCUGAUGCAGCAACGCCGCGUGAGGGACGACGGCCUUCGGGUUGUAAACCUCUUUUAGUAGGGAAGAAGCGAAAGUGACGGUACCUGCAGAAAAAGCACCGGCUAACUACGUG